rnacentral:rRNA from 1 species
UACGUAGGGGGCUAGCGUUGUCCGGAAUCAUUGGGCGUAAAGAGCGUGUAGGCGGUCCGGUAAGUCCGCUGUGAAAGUCGGGGGCUCAACCCUCGAAUGCCGGUGGAUACUGUCGGGCUAGAGUGCGGAAGAGGCGAGUGGAAUUCCCGGUGUAGCGGUGAAAUGCGCAGAUAUCGGGAGGAACACCAAUGGCGAAGGCAGCUCGCUGGGACGGUACUGACGCUGAGACGCGAAAGCGUGGGGAGCAAACAGG